CGCGUAGGCGGACUGUUAAGUCAGAGGUGAAAUCCCAGAGCUCAACCCUGGAACUGCCUUUGAUACUGGCAGUCUCGAGUUCGAGAGAGGUGAGUGGAAUUCCGAGUGUAGAGGUGAAAUUCGUAGAUAUUCGGAGGAACACCAGUGGCGAAGGCGGCUCACUGGCUCGAUACUGACGCUGAGAUGCGAAAGUGUGGGGAGCAAACA
rnacentral:rRNA from 1 species